AUGUGCCACAGACUUCUCUGCUGUGUGGCCCUUUUUUUCUGGGGAGCAGGCUCCAUGGACACUAAGGUCACCCAGAGGCCUGGACAUCUAGUCAAAGGAAAGGAACAGAAAGCAAAGAUGGAUUGUUUCCCCAUAAAAACACAUAUUCAUGUUUAUUGGUAUCGCCGGAAGCUGGAAGGAGAGUUUGAGUUUUUGGUUUACGUAAGGAAUGGAGAGAUUACGGAUAAAAUAGAAGGGUUUGAUCAGCAGUUCUCAGUUGAACGGCCCCAAGAUGAACGCUACAGCCUGGAAAUCAAGUCCACUGAGCCAGGAGACCCAGCACUGUAUUUCUGUGCCAGCAGUGACUCCACAGUGCUGAAUGUGAGCUUUUCUUAG